rnacentral:tRNA from 1 species
CCCUGUAGCUCAGUUGGUAGAGCAUGGUGUUUGCAACGCCAGGGUUGUGGGUUCGAUUCCCACGAGGG